rnacentral:lncRNA from 1 species
AAACAUAUUUAUAUUCUCUCCCUCACAGGUUGUUGUGAGGAAAUAAUUUUACAAACAAACGUGAAAGAGGAACGUGAACUAUUGUUUAAGCAAGCAGUUUUCAGAGAUUUGGAACUCCUCCACUGAUCACAUCAGCCAUUUUCAGAUGAGGAAACAGAAGCAAAACGAGUUAAAUGACUUGUCCAGGUGGCAAAAAUUGGAAAAUGAGGGGGUAUCCCUCAAUUGAAGAAU